rnacentral:ncRNA from 2 species
GAUUUAUAAAGAAGUGCAGAGAGAUUGGGCUCGCAGAAGCACUGGCAACCUACUUACCAAAAGAAAGGUGCUAAAUCCUACCUGACUCGGUACGAUCGGGAAAUAUAAAUU